rnacentral:rRNA from 1 species
AAUGGGCGCAAGCCUGACCCAGCAACGCCGCGUGAAGGAAGAAGGCCCUCGGGUUGUAAACUUCUUUUAUUCGAGACGAAACAAAUGACGGUACCGAAUGAAUAAGCCACGGCUAACUACGUGCCAGCAGCCGCGGUAAUACGUAGGUGGCAAGCGUUAUCCGGAUUUACUGGGUGUAAAGGGCGUGUAGGCGGGACUGCAAGUCAGAUGUGAAAUUCCAGGGCUCAACUCUGGACCUGCAUUUGAAACUGUAGUUCUUGAGUGAUGGAGAGGCAGGCGGAAUUCCGAGUGUAGCGGUGAAAUGCGUAGAUAUUCGGAGGAACACCAGUGGCGAAGGCGGCCUGCUGGACAUUAACUGACGCUGAGGCGCGAAAGCGUGGGGAGCAAA